GUGUCAGCAGCCGCGGUAAUACGGAGGGAGCUAGCGUUGUUCGGAAUUACUGGGCGUAAAGCGCGCGUAGGCGGCUCAGCAAGUCAGGGGUGAAAUCCCGGGGCUCAACCCCGGAACUGCCUUUGAAACUGCUAGGCUAGAAUCCUGGAGAGGCGAGUGGAAUUCCGAGUGUAGAGGUGAAAUUCGUAGAUGUUCGGAAGAACACCAGGGGCGAAGGCGACUCGCUGGACAGGUAUUGACGCUGAGG
rnacentral:rRNA from 1 species